AUUGAACGCUGGCGGCAGGCCUAACACAUGCAAGUCGAGCGGAUGAAGGGGGCUUGCUCCUGGAUUCAGCGGCGGACGGGUGAGUAAUGCCUAGGAAUCUGCCUGGUAGUGGGGGAUAACGUCCGGAAACGGGCGCUAAUACCGCAUACGACCUGAGGGAGAAAGUGGGGGAUCUUCGGACCUCACGGUAUCAGAUGAGCCUAGGUCGGAUUAGCUAGUUGGUGGGGUAAAGGCCUACCAAGGCGACGAUCCGUAACUGGUCUGAGAGGAUGAUCAGUCACACUGGAACUGAGACACGGUCCAGACUCCUACGGGAGGCAGCAGUGGGGAAUAUUGGGCAAUGGGCGAAAGCCUGAUCCAGCAAUGCCGCGUGUGUGAAGAAGGUCUUCGGAUUGUAAAGCACUUUAAGUUGGGAGGAAGGGCAGUAAGUUAAUCCCUUGCUGUUUUGACGUUACCAACAGAAUAAGCACCGGCUAACUUCGUG
rnacentral:rRNA from 1 species